UAAAAGGCCCAGGUCACUAGAGUGGCUGAGAGUCUACACAGUAAAAGGCCCAGACCACUAGAGUGGCUGAGAGUCUACACAGUGAAAGGCCCAGGUCACUAGAGUGGCUGAGAGUCUACACAGUAAAAGGCCCAGGCCACUAGAGUGGCUGAGAGUCUACACAGUAAAAGGCCCAGGUCACUAGAGUGGCUGAGAGUCUACACAGUAAAAGGCCCAGACCACUAGAGUGGCUGAGAGUCUACACAGUAAAAGGCCCAGGCCACUAGAGUGGCUGAGAGUCUACACAGUAAAAGGCCCAGACCACUAGAGUGGCUGAGAGUCUACACAGUAAAAGGCCCAGACCACUAGAGUGGCUGAGAGUCUACACAGUAAAAGGCCCAGACCACUAGAGUGGCUGAGAGUCUACACAGUAAAAGGCCCAGACCACUAGAGUGGCUGAGAGUCUACACAGUAAAAGGCCCAGGCCACUAGAGUGGCUGAGAGUCUACACAGUAAAAGGCCCAGACCACUAGAGUGGCUGAGAGUCUACACAGUAAAAGGCCCAGACCACUAGAGUGGCUGAGAGUCUACACAGUAAAAGGCCCAGGCCACUAGAGUGGCUGAGAGUCUACACAGUAAAAGGCCCAGGUCACUAGAGUGGCUGAGAGUCUACACAGUAAAAGGCCCAGGCCACUAGAGUGGCUGAGAGUCUACACAGUAAAAGGCCCAGGUCACUAGAGUGGCUGAGAGUCUACACAGUAAAAGGCCCAGGCCACUAGA